rnacentral:rRNA from 1 species
UACGGAGGAUGCGAGCGUUAUCCGGAUUUAUUGGGUUUAAAGGGUGCGCAGGCGGAUUUUUAAGUCAGCGGUCAAAUCGUGGGGCUCAAUCCCAUCCAGCCGUUGAAACUGGGGAUCUAGAGUGUGCGAGAGGUAUGCGGAAUGCGUGGUGUAGCGGUGAAAUGCAUAGAUAUCACGCAGAACCCCGAUUGCGAAGGCAGCAUACCGGUGCACAACUGACGCUCAGGCACGAAAGCGUGGGUAUCGAACAGG